rnacentral:rRNA from 1 species
GGGGUUCCGUGGUAGGAGAGCGUUCUAAGGGCAUCGAAGCCAGAUCGUGGGGACUGGUGGAGCGCUUAGAAGUGAGAAUGCCGGUAUGAGUAGCGCAAGACGGGUGAGAAUCCCGUCCACCGAAUAACUAAGGUUUCCUGGGGAAGGCUCGUCCUCCCAGGGUUAGUCGGGACCUAAGCUGAGGCCGAUAGGCGUAGGCGAUGGACAACAGGUUGAUAUUCCUGUACCAGUUGCUUUUGUUUGAGCGAUGGAGGGACGCAGGAGGCUAAGGAAUGCACACGAUCGGAAAUGUGUGUCCAAGCAGCAAGUCUGAGAACGAGUGAAAUGCUUUUUCUCUCAGGGACAAGCUGUGAUGGGGAGCGAAAUUUAGUAGCGAAGUUCCUGAUGUCACACUGCCAAGAAAAGCUUCUAGUGAGAAAGCAACUGCCCGUACCGCAAACCGACACAGGUAGUUGAGGAGAGAAUCCUAAGGUGUGCGAGAGAACUCUCGUUAAGGAACUCGGCAAAAUGACCCCGUAACUUCGGGAGAAGGGGUGCUGACCGCAAGGUCAGCCGCAGUGAAUAGGCCCAAGCGACUGUUUAUCAAAAACACAGGUCUCUGCAAAAUCGAAAGAUGACGUAUAGGGGCUGACGCCUGCCCGGUGCUGGAAGGUUAAGAGGAGAGGUUAGCGCAAGCGAAGCUUUGAAUUGAAGCCCCAGUAAACGGCGGCCGUAACAAUAACGGUCCUAAGGUAGCGAAAUUCCUUGUCGGGUAAGUUCCGACCCGCACGAAAGGCGUAACGAUUUGGGCACUGUCUCAACGAGAGACUCGGUGAAAUUAUAGUACCAGUGAAGAUGCUGGUUACCCGCGACAGGACGGAAAGACCCCAUGGAGCUUUACUGCAGUUUGAUAUUGCGUGUUUGUAUCACAUGUACAGGAUAGGUAGGAGCCGAAGAUACCGGGACGCCAGUCUCGGAGGAGGCAACGGUGGGAUACUACCCUUGUGAUAUGACCACUCUAACCCGCUGCUCUUAGCGAGCAGGGAGACAGUGUCAGACGGGCAGUUUGACUGGGGCGGUCGCCUCCAAAAAUGUAACGGAGGCGCCCAAAGGUUCCCUCAGAAUGGUUGGAAAUCAUUCGUAGAGUGUAAAGGCAGAAGGGAGCUUGACUGCGAGACCUACAAGUCGAGCAGGGACGAAAGUCGGGCUUAGUGAUCCGGUGGUUCCGCAUGGAAGGGCCAUCGCUCAACGGAUAAAAGCUACCCUGGGGAUAACAGGCUUAUCUCCCCCAAGAGUUCACAUCGACGGGGAGGUUUGGCACCUCGAUGUCGGCUCAUCGCAUCCUGGGGCUGUAGUCGGUCCCAAGGGUUGGGCUGUUCGCCCAUUAAAGCGGUACGCGAGCUGGGUUCAGAACGUCGUGAGACAGUUCGGUCCCUAUCCGUCGCGGGCGUUGGAAAUUUGAGAGGAGCUGUCCUUAGUACGAGAGGACCGGGAUGGACACACCGCUGGUGUACCAGUUGUUCUGCCAAGAGCAUCGCUGGGUAGCUAUGUGUGGACGGGAUAAACGCUGAAAGCAUCUAAGCGUGAAGCCCCCUCAAGAUGAGAUUUCCCAUCACAUC